rnacentral:snRNA from 1 species
AUGCUUGCUUCAGCAGCACAUGUACUAAAAUUGGAAUGAUACAGAGAAGAUUAAUAUGGGUCCUGCAUAAGUGAUGACAUGCAAAUUCAUGAAGCAUUCCAUAUUUUU